CUACUCUACGGUGCAUGUCUGGGCUAGAUGCAAAGCAAGGAACACAGUGGCAAUGGAAGAUGGGGGGUGUAUGAGUCACACAGCAAUGGGAAGAGCCAUACAGAGAGACCUAGAUCUCAGGGAACAAACCUGCUCAGUUUCCGGGCUACGAGGAACUGCGUGGGACUUUCAAACACUAAGAAUGUGACAGUCUCAGUGUCCUCCACACCACAACAUCCACACCCAGAAGUCCUCUGGGGAACAUAACAGCACAGGGCACAAGACACUGUACGUCCACCAACUUUGUGAUUCAGCACAACAGAGCGGAAAACUCAGAAGCCAGGGGCCACAGGCCAGAGGAACUUUGCAGUGAGCCCAGGGAACAGACAGAGGCCACCAUAAUCCUGUGAUAUUGAUCCUGAAAAGGUGGUGAGCCCAGUGAGGCCAAAAAACUAACAAACAAACC
rnacentral:lncRNA from 1 species